AUGCUUGGUCUCUCAUCUGCAGCAUCACAACACAGAGAGGUUUUUGUACCAGCAGUAAUAGGGAUUGUAUCACUGUGGUGGACUUUUGGUAGCAGCACCAGACUUGAUGUUGGAAGUAACAGUGCCCCCACUCUCACUGUCCUGCCCCCCUCUAGAGAGGAACUGUCCAGUACAACAACAGCCACACUGACGUGUCUGGCCAACAAGGGCUUCCCCUCAGACUGGACCAUAAGAUGGAAAGUGGACCGGACCAGCAACAACCAGAAGACCAGUCCCGGGGUCCUGGAGAAGGAUGGCAUGUACAGCUGGAGCAGCACCCUGACUCUCACUGGCCAGGAGUGGACCAAGGCAGGAGAGGUGACCUGUGAAGCCCAGCAGAAAUCCCAGACUCCAGUCACCAAGACCCUGAGGAGGACUGACUGUUCUGGGUAGGACCCCUCAGUCACACACCCCUGAAGAGAGAGGCUGCUGGUUCCUCUGCUUUGACUCUGUUCUGAGAUCAGAUGUUCUCUGUCUUAUUGAUCACUGACAUGUAAACAGACAGGGGGCUUUGCUUGAGUUCAUGUGUCAAUCUUCUCUGUAGACUGAGGUUGUAUCAGUGCUAAAUUUGAUGAGUUCUGUUUUAUUUCUAUCAGAUACUGUAGGAAUGUUUGCUUUGAAGAUUUUAUGAAAAUAACGUUUUCCCUUUGGAACAAAUAUUUUAGUUGUCUCUUUCAAUAAUUAAACUUUAGUUGUACAUGUUGAAUGGUAUAGACGUAUAUUAAUAAAGCCUUAUUCACAGUUUAUUUUUAAACUAUCA